UACGUAGGGUGCAAGCGUUGUCCGGAAUUAUUGGGCGUAAAGAGCUCGUAGGCGGUCAGUCGCGUCUGCUGUGAAAACUCGGGGCUUAACUCCGGGCCUGCAGUGGGUACGGGCUGACUAGAGUGCGGUAGGGGAGACUGGAAUUCCUGGUGUAGCGGUGAAAUGCGCAGAUAUCAGGAGGAACACCGGUGGCGAAGGCGGGUCUCUGGGCAGUAACUGACGCUGAGGAGCGAAAGCGUGGGGAGCGAACAGG
rnacentral:rRNA from 1 species